GGAGCCCUCGCCGCCGGCAGGAGACACCUCGGUGCCGAGAGCCCGGCGCGGCACCUGUGAUAGCAAAAUCCUUGUGUUGUGUUAUAAACCUCCGUCGGGCCUGUCGUCGUCUGUUUGGGCUGCUGUGACAAAACACCACAGUUUGGAUGGCUAACCCACGGACCCCCGGGACUCUGAGGUCAGGCCAUGCCCAGGUUCAGGGCCCGGCCACCUCCCCGGCUCCCAGGCCCCUCCCGGAGGCGGCGGCACCUGCCCCAGGGCUUAGGGGCCUCUGCAGCCUCUUUGAAAAGGACUGGAGUCCCCUUCUUGCGUGUCACUCUUAGGGACCCAGCGCCCCCACCUCCUAACACUGGCCCGCGAAGGGUCAGGCUCCGCAACCCCUCAGACCAGGUUCUUCCCACUGCUGGCCCGGCUCCUCACGCCUCCUUCUACCCUGGCUGGUCCCCCCGGAGUCACACGCCUGUUAGUGUUUCCCAGCAAAUAACUAUUUCCGGUAAACCCGUAAGUUCCAAGCGUGGCUCAGCUGAUACAUAGUCUGUUUCCAUCUGGUUCACGUGGGCUAUGAUGCCCGUUUUGAUUUCUGCUGUGACCCGUGAGUUAUUUAGAAAAAAUAUUUCUUUAUUUUCAAACGCAGUAUUUUCUGGGUUUUUGUUAACAGUUUAAAGCAUAACUGCAUUGUGAUUGGAGGACCAGCCUGUGUGAUUUGUUUUGUCUGUUGAUGAUGUAAUUACGUAAGAUUCAUUGUUUCAAAGAUUCCAUGACUUGCCGUCACCCAUUGUUUUGCUCCAACCUUCAUGUAGCCUCAGGGGUCAAGUGUACCUCUGUGAGCAGCAUGUACUGGGUAUUUUCAAAACUACCCAGACCAACUUUGUGCUUUCAUUGGAACAUUAAAUCCAUUUACAUGUAAUAAAA